AGACGCGGCCGCAUCCUCGUGGACGGUAGAGGCGGCAGCGAGCUAGAGCCCGAGUCACAGCUCGCCGCCGCGGAGAGGCCAGGCGAGCCCGAGCGCGCGGGGAUCCGGCCCAGGGUCGGCGGGCAGCUCUGCGCGUGGCGGAGGUCAUGGUAUACUGAAAAGGCACUCAAUCAAGAGAAAUCUGGAGGGAGUUGGAAACCAUCAAGUUUUUGAGGACACAAAGGGUGCAGAAAAGAUCGAGUUCCUUAUAUUCAGUCUGAACAAAUAAGACUCAUUUGAAGAGAAACAGUCUCAGAUACACAAUGAGAGGAACAGUGAAAACCAUAUAGGAAGCUGGGUAGAAGAAUGUGGUUAAAAGCUGUCCCCUUUGGAUUUUAAAUUCUUCCACCAUAGAAAAGGGGUUAAUCAGAGUUUCUCCCUAUACCUGUCUUAGAAAUAACAGCAUAUUUUAAUCAGAGAUUUGU
rnacentral:lncRNA from 1 species